rnacentral:misc_RNA from 1 species
GAUGAAGAACGUAGCGAAACGCGAUACGUAAUGUGAAUUGCAGAAUUCAGUGAAUCAUCGAAUCUUUGAACGCACAUUGCGCCCGCUGGUAUUCCGGCGGGCAUGCCUGUUCGAGCGUCAUUUCAACCCUCAAGCCCCCGGGUUUGGUGUUGGGGAUCGGCUCUGCCCUUCUGGGCGGUGCCGCCCCCGAAAUACAUUGGCGGUCUCGCUGCAGCCUCCAUUGCGUAGUAGCUAACACCUCGCAACUGGAACGCGGCGCGGCCAUGCCGUAAAACCCCAACUUCUGAAUGUUGACCUCGGAUCAGGUAGGAAUACCCGCUGAACUUAAGCAUAUCAAUAAGCGGAGGA